rnacentral:rRNA from 1 species
GGGAGGCAGCAGUGGGGAAUAUUGGACAAUGGUCGGAAGACUGAUCCAGCCAUGCCGCGUGAAGGACGAAGGCGCUCAGCGUUGUAAACUUCUUUUGUACAGGAACAAAAGCAUCCAUGCGUGGGUGUCUGAGGGUACUGUAAGAAUAAGCACCGGCUAACUCCGUGCCAGCAGCCGCGGUAAUACGGAGGGUGCAAGCGUUAUCCGGAAUCACUGGGUUUAAAGGGUGCGUAGGCGGUCCGUUAAGUCAGUUGUGAAAUUCCCUCGCUUAACGAGUGGGACUGCGAUUGAUACUGACAGACUUGAAUCAGGUUGAGGUAGGCGGAAUGAGACAUGUAGCGGUGAAAUGCUUAGAUAUGUCUUAGAACACCGAUUGCGAAGGCAGCUUGCUGGACCUGUAUUGACGCUGAGGCACGAAAGCGUGGGGAGCAAACAGGAUUAGAUACCCCGGU